rnacentral:rRNA from 1 species
UCGAGAAUUUUUCUCAAUGGGGGAAACCCUGAAGGAGCGACGCCGCGUGGAGGAUGAAGGUCUUCGGAUUGUAAACUCCUGUCAUUGGGGAACAAACCACGGUGGUUAACUGCCAUCGUGCUGAUAGUACCCGAAGAGGAAGAGACGGCUAACUCUGUGCCAGCAGCCGCGGUAAUACAGAGGUCUCGAGCGUUGUUCGGAUUCAUUGGGCGUAAAGGGUGCGUAGGUGGUUCUGUAAGUCGGAUGUGAAAUCCCGGGGCUCAACCCCGGAACUGCAUUCGAUACUGCAGGGCUUGAGUGCUGGAGAGGAGAUCGGAAUUUACGGUGUAGCAGUGAAAUGCGUAGAUAUCGUAAGGAAGACCGGUGGCGAAGGCGGAUCUCUGGACAGCAACUGACACUG